rnacentral:rRNA from 1 species
GACGAACGCUGGCGGCGUGCUUAACACAUGCAAGUCGAACGAUGAAGCCGGAGCUUGCUCUGGUGAAUUAGUGGCGAACGGGUGAGUAACACGUGAGUAACCUGCCCUUGACUCUGGGAUAACUGCGGGAAACUGUAGCUAAUACCGGAUACGACCCUCGGAGGCAUCUCCUGGGGGUGGAAAGAAUUUCGGUCAAGGAUGGACUCGCGGCCUAUCAGCUAGUUGGUGAGGUAAAGGCUCACCAGGGCGACGACGGGUAGCCGGCCUGAGAGGGUGACCGGCCACACUGGGACUGAGACACGGCCCAGACUCCUACGGGAGGCAGCAGUGGGGAAUAUUGCACAAUGGGCGCAAGCCUGAUGCAGCAACGCUGCGUGAGGGAUGACGGCCUUCGGGUUGUAAACCUCUUUUAGCAGGGAAGAAGCGAAAGUGACGGUACCUGCAGAAAAAGCACCGGCUAACUACGUGCCAGCCGCCGCGGUAA